rnacentral:rRNA from 1 species
CGAAGGAUGCAAACGUUGCUCGGAAUCAUUGGGCGUAAAGCGCACGUAGGCGGCGCAGUAAGUCGGACGUGAAAUCCCUCGGCUCAACCGAGGACGUGCAUCCGAAACUACUGUGCUCGAGUAUGGAAGAGGGUCGCGGAAUUCUCGGUGUAGAGGUGAAAUUCGUAGAUAUCGGGAGGAACACCAGUGGCGAAGGCGGCGACCUGGGCCAAUACUGACGCUGAGGUGCGAAAGCGUGGGAGCAAACAGGAUUAGAUACCCUGGUAGUCCACGCCGUAAACGAUGAGUGCUAGGUGCUAUGGGUAUUGACCCCCGUGGUGCCGUAGCUAACGCGUUAAGCACUCCGCCUGGGGAGUACGGCCGCAAGGCUA